rnacentral:lncRNA from 1 species
GACCUGCUCGUACCGGAAGUGCUUUUCCCUUUGGGGUCAGCUCCCCGGAAGCGAUUCUUCGCCCUCUCGCCCCAGCGGCCUCCAGGGCGGUUCCGCAGCUCGAGAGGGCGGUGCCCCGGGCCAGGUCGGCGGAAGUCCCGUUUCAGAGUUUCAAGGCAUACGUUUGUGUUUUCCCUAAGCAGUUACUGAAGAGCCUGGACUGUGUCGUUGGGCAGCGUUCACAUCCUCAAUAUGCCCCAGACCGUGUGGCCUUGGACGGGUUGCAUAACCUCUCUGAGCUUCCCGGGUGAUGAAGUCCGCGUUAUCAAUAAAUUGUAUAGCUCGUGCCGUAGAGGGGACCCUUUAACAGACAGUCCCUGUUAUGUCCGGUGGCACCAGUGGCUCCGGUCCGACCUGAGAAGCAGCUUUAAAUGCGGGCCAAGCUGGCUGACCUUCCCCACGCAGAUUUAGAGGACUCUGGCAAUUCUUUUCCUUAAUGAAGAAUGCCUUCCCUGCCUAAUCCUAAUGCCUGAACUUCAAGGAAUCCCAGACACCCUGUUGAAUGGUCUCCAGGUUCCCUUGCUUCAGAACAGACACUGACUGGCACUGUAGGUACAGAGGAGAAUGUGGGAAAUGCUUCUGUCUCUGCCUGAAGCCAAACAGGGAGGAGGGACGCCCCCGGAAGUCUACCUGGGCUUUUUAUUUUCCUUUCUGGCCCUGGACACCUGUGUGCAAGAGUCCUGGAUGCGAUGAUGAAAGAAGAGAUUUAUCAUCUUCUUAUCCAAGAGAAGGAACUGCUCAAUAGAUUAGAAGUGAGCUGCUCAUGAGAGGUAGGUAUGCUAUGACAAUAGUUAUCCUGUGUGGAAUCAGUUCAUUUCUAGUGCAAGGCACGAGGCAGAUGUAUAAGAAAAUAGUGGUAGUCUUCAAAAAAUAUUAAACGCCUGCCCCCUCAAACACAGACAGACACACAUCCAGUUUUGUAAUUUCUUGGCAUGUGUGAGCUUUGGAGGUGUCACCAAAUUGAUGGUCUAGUGAUAUGAGCACCUCUUCUAGCAUGGAGGCACUACGGCUAGCUUUAAAUAAAUGGUUCAUUGUGAAAUUGUGCCAUGGCUUCCCCAUAGGUUAUCCAAGAUUGAGAAAAACACAAUAUAAUGUCACAAGCAGUUUACUGGGUGGACUGGGGAAUUUUUCAUAUAGGUGCCUUCAGACCUUUAAAUUGAGAAUACAUGGUUAGUGCAAAGAAACAGAUUGGGAGGCUGCAGGAAAAAAGUCUGCACUUUUUAGAGACAGCCUAAUCUCCAAACUACUUUAAAAUGUUGAUAAAGUCAGUCUGGGAAUUACUCAGCAUCUUCUAUACUAUCAGUUUUUCUCAAAUCAAAUAGACAGUCUGUGCUAUAGCUCCAAGGUUGUGAGGUUUUUUUGUUUUGGUUUGGUUUGGUUUUUGGUUUUCUGGUUUUUGUUUUUUUCCUUUCCAAUUAUUUUAUUUUUCUUUCUGUCAUUCUAAUCAAAAUCCCCCAAAAGUUUCCCAUAUUUUUUUAUAAAUUUUUUUAAAGACACUUUAGAUUACAUAAGUGUUACAUAAAAAAUAUAAGGAUUCCCAUAUGCCCCCCUCCUUCCCCCUCCCACACUUUCCCACAUUAACAACAUCCAUCAGUAGUGUGGUACGUUUGUUAAAAUGGAUGAACACAUACUGAAGCAUUGCUACUAACCAUGGACUAGUUUACAUUAUAGUUGACACUCUGUCCUGCACCAUUUUGUAGGUUAUGACAAAAUAUACAAUGGUCUGUAUCCACCAUCACUGCAAUGUCAUGCAGGACAAAUCCAAUGCCCCCAUUUUACACCUUUUCUUCCCUCUCCCAUCCCUCAGAACCUCUGGUGGCCACUGCCUUUAUAUCAAUGAUAAGAGUUCUUCCAAUGCUAGAAUAAUAAGAAGUCUGUAAUAGAAUAAUAAUAAGUCUACUUUAGUCCAUUGUUCAUUCCUCAAUCUCGAGGAUUUGGGGAUGGUGAUGCCCACUCUGCGUCUAAUUGAGAGGGGGCUUAGAUCCCAUGGGGCAGAUGGAUAGAACUAUCUAGCUGCAAGGUUUUUAAACAUAAGUCUUGGCCAAUUGAAAAUUUUUAUCAUCAACCUUACAAAAUUAUCACCUA